rnacentral:lncRNA from 1 species
AAUUAAAGAUUAGCAAAUAUGACCAAACAUUCAUCAAAUUUAAUCAAAAUUUCAAAAGAAUUAUGUAAAAAACUCAAAGUCUUCUUAAAAAUCCUUUAAAGAAUCAUAAAGAAAUAAUAUAGAAAUUCAAAAAUAUAUUAAAAUAAAAACCUUAAUUAAAUCUUAAACAUAUCUUAAUCAAACCUUAGUGAAAUCUUAAUCAAAUCCUAACCAAACCCUAACCAAGCCUUAAAUAAAUCUUAGUCAAAUCCUAACAAAUCCUAA